GUGCCCUGAGGCUCCGGGCAUUCUUGGGAGAUGCUGACUAAGAGACAACAGCCCAGUGAUGGCAGGAGUUUCCCAGAGAGUGGAACAGCUCUUCUCACCUGAUGUGGAUUCUAAUACCUCGAUCUCUGACAGAUAAGUGCAGGGGUUCAACCCACAGUGGGGAUGGGAAUGAGUCUCUGGGUCUGGAAUUGUCAGGGGGGAUUUUGGGAGUGCCGGGGAUUGGUGGGGAUCUCUGUGGGGUGAUUGCUGGGCAGGCGGGGUCUCUGUGAGGGCCCCUCUGAGACCCCUCCUCAAAUUCCCCAUUGUCUCUCCCCAGCACCUGUGGGACGCUGCACUCGGUGGAUCAGUACCUGAACAUCAAACUGAUGGACAUCAGCGUCAUGGACCCCAAGAAUACCCGCACAUGGUGCGGGGUGGGGGGCUCAGGGGGGUUUGGAGGUUCUCAGAGGGUUUCAGUGAGU